AUGGAUGAAGCUGGGGCACUGAUGCCAUCGUGGAUGGAACUGUGGAAUGAGUGGGAGAUCCAAGUAGUUGUUGUCGCCAGCUUCAGUCUACAGGUUAUCCUCUUCUUCUUCGCAGGGAUCCGCCGCUACAGCAUCUCGUCUGUUCUCAGGGUCCUCCUCUGGCUGAUAUAUCUGCUUGCCGAUGUCGUUGCGACGUAUGGCCUGGGGCACAUGUCCUCGGUCAUGUCAAAGAAAUCAUCCGGCGAGCACCAGCUGGUGGCAUUCUGGGCGCCAUUCCUCCUGCUGCACCUUGGUGGCCAGGAUACCAUCACCGCUUACGCCCUGGAGGACAAUGAACUCUGGCGGCGCCACCUGUUAAAUAUGUUGGUGCAGGUCGCCGGCACUGCGUAUGUGCUCUACAAGUACAUCAAUUCAGGGGAGGCGACCUUUGUCCGUGCCGCUAUGUUGAUUCUUGCUGCCGGGGUUUUCAAGUAUGGCGAGAGGAUAUGGGCGCUGAAUCUUGCAAGCAAGGGUGAUACCACAAGGCCAAGACGUGAUCCAGAGGCCAACACUAUUCCUUAUUCUCCUGCCAAAAGGGAGACACAGCAAAAACAUGAAGACUGGCGUCGCCAAAACGGUGGAGACUGCUUCACCAAAAACAAACAGUUUAGAGCAUAUGCAUUUAUUGUGACGGCGGCACAUGCGUUGCGCCAUGUACUUGUCAAGCCUUUAAUCAUAGACAGGAAUGAGGCGUCCAUAGACUGGUAUGGGGCAUUCAUGGACCAGAAUUACAGUACAAUGUAUCUCGCAGAUAGUCUUGUACGAGGCUUUGACUGCCAAGACGACGAGAGCGAAGAUGCAUCGGCAACGGAGAAGAGGACUAUUAAGAAGCUGUACAAGGGAGUAGAGGUGCAGCUCGGCCUAAUGUACGACAUGUUGUACACCAAGGCACAAGUGAUCCACAAAAGCCGUGGCCACUGGAUCCGUGCCAUUUCACUUGUGUGUUGCUUCGCCGCUCUUGUGGUCUUCACAAAAAGCAAGAGAGAUGGAUACAGCACACCCGACAUUGUUAUCACUUUUGCUCUUCUGGGCGGAGCAUGCGCACUAGAGGUCACAUCUUUUUUCAAGGCGAUUGGGUCAACAUGGGCAUUUGACAUCUUGAGACGCUACAGAUGGAAGUGGCUGGCCAAUGCAGUUUUGUUUGCACGUUACCACCUCGUCGUCGUCAAGGAGGGAAGGUGGUCCAAUUCCGUCGGGCAAUUUGAUUUCAUAUCCUUCUGUGCUCACAGCAGCAAGAGGGGCCUCAAGGGAACAAUAGCCCGUUUGAUUGAGUCAAGGACUUUUGGGACAAAGCUCGCUGCACCAAACAUGCCAAGCUUUCGCCUACCCUCAAGGUCAAGGAGUUCGUAUGGGGCUUGCUCAAAGGUGACAAGACUCAUAUGUUUGAAAUUGAAAUUGAAGAGGUGGACAUGCGGAGUGGGAACUGGGCUCGCA
rnacentral:rRNA from 1 species